rnacentral:rRNA from 1 species
UACGAAGGGGGCUAGCGUUGCUCGGAAUUACUGGGCGUAAAGCGCACGUAGGCGGCUCUUUAAGUCGGGGGUGAAAUCCUGGAGCUCAACUCCAGAACUGCCUUCGAUACUGAAGAGCUUGAGUCCGGGAGAGGUGAGUGGAACUGCGAGUGUAGAGGUGAAAUUCGUAGAUAUUCGCAAGAACACCAGUGGCGAAGGCAGCACUCUGGGACGUGACUGACGCUGAGACGCGAAAGCGUGGGGAGCAAACGGG